GACAGAGGGGGCAAGCGUUGCUCGGAAUCACUGGGCGUAAAGGGCGCGUAGGCGGCCCGGUAAGUCAAAGGUGAAAUCCCUCGGCUCAACUGAGGAACUGCCUUUGAAACUGUCGGGCUUGAGGCCGGGAGGGGGUAGCGGAAUUCCCAGUGUAGCGGUGAAAUGCGUAGAUAUUGGGAGGAACACCGGUGGCGAAGGCGGCUACCUGGACCGGUUCUGACGCUGAUGCGCGAAAGCGUGGGUAGCAAACAGG
rnacentral:rRNA from 1 species